rnacentral:rRNA from 1 species
GACGAACGCUGGCGGCGUGCCUAAUACAUGCAAGUAGAACGCUGAAGAGAGGAGCUUGCUCUUCUUGGAUGAGUUGCGAACGGGUGAGUAACGCGUAGGUAACCUGCCUGGUAGCGGGGGAUAACUAUUGGAAACGAUAGCUAAUACCGCAUAAAAUUGAUUAUUGCAUGAUAAUUAAUUGAAAGAUGCAACUGCAUCACUACCAGAUGGACCUGCGUUGUAUUAGCUAGUUGGUGAGGUAACGGCUCACCAAGGCGACGAUACAUAGCCGACCUGAGAGGGUGGUCGGCCACACUGGGACUGAGACACGGCCCAGACUCCUACGGGAGGCAGCAGUAGGGAAUCUUCGGCAAUGGGGGGAACACUGACCGAGCAACGCCGCGUGAGUGAAGAAGGUUUUCGGAUCGUAAAGCUCUGUUGUAAGAGAAGAACGGGUGUGAGAGUGGAAAGUUCACACUGUGACGGUAUCUUACCAGAAAGGGACGGCUAACUACGUG